rnacentral:rRNA from 1 species
ACUCAAAUGAAUUGACGGGGAGGCGCACAAGCAGUGGAGCGUGUGGUUUAAUUCGAUUCAAAGCGAAGAACCUCACCAAGGUUUGACAUGUACCUGCAAGCGCACGGAAACGUGUGACCUUCGAGGGUGGUACACAGAUGCUGCAUGGCUGUCGUAAGUUCGUGGCGUGAGCUGUUCCCUUAAGUGGGUCAACGAGCGAAACCCGCAUUGUAUGUUAAAUAGUUCAUACAAAACUGCCUCAUUUUUUGAGGAGGAAGGAGCGGAUGACGUCAAGUCCGCACGGCUCUUACACCUUGGGCAACACACACCCUACAAUGGACAAUAACAACGAGUUGCAAACUGGUAACAGUAAGCUAAUCUCUAAAAUUUGUCCUCAGUUCAGAUUGAGGUCUGCAACCCGACCUCAUGAAGCAGGAAUUGCUAGUAAUCGCGAAUCAGCAGGUCGCGGUGAAUACGUUCUCGCCUCUUGUACACACCGCCCGU